GACGAACGCUGGCGGCGUGCUUAACACAUGCAAGUCGAACGGAAAGGCCCUGCUUUUGUGGGGUGCUCGAGUGGCGAACGGGUGAGUAACACGUGAGUAACCUGCCCUUGACUUUGGGAUAACUUCAGGAAACUGGGGCUAAUACCGGAUAGGAGCUCCUGCUGCAUGGUGGGGGUUGGAAAGUUUCGGCGGUUGGGGAUGGACUCGCGGCUUAUCAGCUUGUUGGUGGGGUAGUGGCUUACCAAGGCUUUGACGGGUAGCCGGCCUGAGAGGGUGACCGGCCACAUUGGGACGGAGAUACGGCCCAGACUCCUACGGGAGGCAGCAGUGGGGAAUAUGGCACAAUGGGCGGAAGCCUGAGGCAGCAACGCCGCGUGCGGGAUGACGGCCUUCGGGUUGUAAACCGCUUUCGCCUGUGACGAAGCGUGAGUGACGGUAAUGGGAAAAGAAGCACCGGCUAACUACGU
rnacentral:rRNA from 1 species